rnacentral:rRNA from 1 species
AGUCGGACGAGAACAAUCCUUCGGGAUGUUGCUAAGUGGCGAACGGGUGAGUAAUAUAUAGUUAAUAUGCCUUUUAGUAAAGAAUAACAGUUGGAAACGAUUGCUAAUACUUUAUACUCCUUUCUUAUUAAUUAAGAAAGGGAAAGUUUUUCGCUAAAAGAUUAGAUUAUACGGUAUCAGCUUGUUGGUAAGGUAAUGGCUUACCAAGGCUAUGACAUCUAACUGGUUUGAGAGGAUGAUCAGUCACACUGGAACUGAGACACGGUCCAGACUCCUACGGGAGGCAGCAGUGGGGAAUAUUGCACAAUGGAGGAAACUCUGAUGCAGCAACGCCGCGUGGAGGAUGACGCAUUUCGAUGUGUAAACUCCUUUUAUAUAGGAAGAUAAUGACGGUACUAUAUGAAUAAGCACCGGCUAACUCCGUGCCAGCAGCCGCGGUAAUACGGAGGGUGCAAGCGUUACUCGGAAUCACUGGGCGUAAAGCGCGCGCAGGCGGCUAUUUAAGUUGGAUGUGAAAGCCUAUGGCUCAACCAUAGAACUGCAUCCAAAACUAUUUAGCUAGAGUGUGGGAGAGGAAGAUGGAAUUAGUUGUGUAGGGGUAAAAUCCGUAGAGAUAACUAGGAAUACCAAAAGCGAAGGCAAUCUUCUGGAACACUACUGACGCUGAGGCGCGAAAGCGUGGGGAGCAAACGGGAUUAGAUACCCCGGUAGUCCACGCAGUAAACGAUGAAUGUUAGUCGUCGGGGGCCUAGUGUCUUCGGUGAUGCAGCUAACGCAUUAAACAUUCCGCCUGGGGAGUACGGUCGCAAGGUUAAAACUCAAAGGAAUAGACGGGGACCCGCACAAGUGGUGGAGCAUGUGGUUUAAUUCGAGAUACGCG